UUCCAGGCGUGGAAACCCCUGAGCUGAGGGAGGGUGCACAGUGCUGGAGGCAGGAACAUUUCACAUCGCUCUGCGUAUCUCCUCUGGUGCCCGCGACUCGGAUCAAGCAAUCGCAGCAUUCAUAUUCAUAGGGCUGAAACUACCUGCGCCCCUCCGCCUUGUUAAUAAAUGAAGGAGGCUCCUGAGUAGGAAUGUGCAAAGCAGGAAGAAAGGAGCUGCCUGCAGCCAACUAAUCAGAGAAAAUGGUCCUAGGGAGAGGGCAGAAAUUGUGCCUGCCAGCUUUGAGCACCCGAAUUCCCAGGAUCAUGUUUAUAAACUUUUAGCUGGAAUAUAAGGCCCCAAAGGCUCCCAUUGAAAGGGUGGAAAUUCCUACAUUUGUCCCUUCUGCUGUGUUUUGUGACCUGGUGUUUCUCUAAACCUGGAGUUAAGUCAUCCCUUCUGCCCUUUGUUUAUGGGGAAACAUGUUUGAGAAGCUGAAGAAUCAAUGCCCUACUCAUCAAAUGGAGGAGUGUUUGGCAUUCAUAACAAGAAUGGACUAUAAAAUAAAUGCCUCUGGCUGCUCUUUGCAUUCUGCCGUGCCACGGUCUGGCCCUAUCAGGCCUGCGCAUAUGGGAAAAUGGGGCCUCUCCUGAAGUUCUCAGUGUUAUGGUCAGAGCAUUCAGGCAUGUGCAGGCACGCUGGUCCUGGUGCUGCUUUUUGUUUUUGUUUGUUGUUUGUUUUAACAGCUGCUAAUAAUUAUAUUAUCCUGCUGCAGAGGUAGUUCUGGGAAACAGCGAUCUCUGAAAGCACUAAACAGAUAGGGAGAAGAUGCCGCCUCCCUCCCCCCCUCCUUCUCCCUGUUAGUUUUCUGGUACAAACAGCAUUCCUGCCUCAUUCCCUCUGAAGUUAAAAGACUUAAAUUCUUUACAAGGAAGGUCAUCCAUUUGAAGCCAAAACCCUGUUUGCUUUUGUCUUACCACUCGCUUUCAUAUGAAAAAAAAAAAAAACAACUGAGAGCGCACCAGCCCACUUCACCAACUCAGAAAUUAAGCAUAACAAGCUCAG
ensembl:lncRNA